GCGGCCGUAGUCUAGCCUGGAUUAGGACGCUGGCCUUCCAAGCCAGUGGUCCCGGGUUCAAAUCCCGGCGGUCGCA
rfam:Metallosphaera yellowstonensis MK1 genomic scaffold MetMK1scaffold_19, whole genome shotgun sequence.